CCUUGCCAGCCCGCUCAGAAACUCAAAGGAAUUGACGGGGGCCCGCACAAGCGGUGGAGCAUGUGGUUAAUUCGAUGAUACGCGAGGAACCUUACCUGGGCUCAAAUGUAUGUUGACGUAUUCUGAAAGGGAUACUUCUUCGGACAAUAUACAAGGUGCUGCAUGGUUGUCGUCAGCUCGUGCCGUGAGGUGUCGGGUUAAGUCCCAUAACGAGCGCAACCCCUAUCAUUAGUUGCCAUCAGGUCAAGCUGGGGACUCUAAUGAAACUGCCUACGCAAGUAGUGAGGAAGGUGGGGAUGACGUCAAAUCAGCACGGCCCUUACGUCCAGGGCUACACACGUGCUACAAUGGCCGGUACAAAGGGCAGCUACCUGGUGACAGGAUGCUAAUCUCAAAAGCCGGUCUCAGUUCGGAUCGGAGUCUGCAACCCGACUCCGUGAAGUUGGAUUCGCUAGUAAUCGCGCAUCAGCCAUGGCGCGGUGAAUACGUUCCCGGGCCUU
rnacentral:rRNA from 1 species